AUUCAUUGCCGUGGCCGGCGGGCACUGGGGCCCCGUGUUUUCAGAGUCAUGGAGGCGCUAAUUCCUGUCAUUAACAAGCUCCAGGACGUCUUCAACACGGUGGGCGCCGACAUCAUCCAGCUGCCUCAAAUCGUCGUAGUGGGAACGCAGAGCAGCGGAAAGAGCUCAGUGCUAGAAAGCCUGGUGGGGAGGGACCUGCUUCCCAGAGGUACUGGAAUUGUCACCCGGAGACCUCUCAUUCUGCAACUGGUCCAUGUUUCACAAGAAGAUAAACGAAAAACAACAGGAGAAGAAAAUGGGGUGGAAGCAGAAGAAUGGGGUAAAUUUCUUCACACCAAAAAUAAGCUUUACACGGAUUUUGAUGAAAUUCGACAAGAAAUUGAAAAUGAAACAGAAAGAAUUUCAGGAAAUAAUAAGUGUCUAAAAGAUGAAAAGUCCCCCAACCCCAAAUCUAUGAAACAUCUCUUCUUUCCCAAAUCACGGAGUAAGCCCUGAACCAAUUCAUCUUAAGAUUUUUUCACCCAACGUUGUCAAUUUGACACUUGUGGAUUUGCCA
rnacentral:sRNA from 1 species